UAAUUUACCUGGGAGGGAAUAUACCAUGAUCAAGAAAAUGAUCCUGCCAGGACAAGGCUCCACUAUUUAGGUGUGCCCGUGUCUGCGUUUCCCCCCACCUGUGAGAAACUCAGCCUGCGUACUUUGUGAUAAUAGCGGACUGCUUUCAGUGCAUUCCCCUA